UCAGGUAACACUGAAUGGAGGACCGAACCGACUUACGUUGAAAAGUGAGCGGAUGAACUGAGGGUAGCGGAGAAAUUCCAAUCGAACCUGGAGAUAGCUGGUUCUCUCCGAAAUAGCUUUAGGGCUAGCCUCAAGUGAUGAUUAUUGGAGGUAGAGCACUGUUUGGACGAGGGGCCCCUCUCGGGUUACCGAAUUCAGACAAACUCCGAAUGCCAAUUAAUUUAACUUGGGAGUCAGAACAUGGGUGAUAAGGUCCGUGUUCGAAAGGGAAACAGCCCAGACCACCAGCUAAGGUCCCAAAAUAUAUGUUAAGUGGAAAAGGAUGUGGCGUUGCCCAGACAACUAGGAUGUUGGCUUAGAAGCAGCCAUCAUUUAAAGAGUGCGUAAUAGCUCACUAGUCGAGUGACACUGCGCCGAAAAUGUACCGGGGCUAAACAUAUUACCGAAGCUGUGGAUUGUCCUUUGGACAAUGGUAGGAGAGCGUUCUAAGGGCGUUGAAGCAUGAUCGUAAGGACAUGUGGAGCGCUUAGAAGUGAGAAUGCCGGUGUGAGUAGCGAAAGACGGGUGAGAAUCCCGUCCACCGAUUGACUAAGGUUUCCAGAGGAAGGCUCGUCCGCUCUGGGUUAGUCGGGUCCUAAGCUGAGGCCGACAGGCGUAGGCGAUGGAUAACAGGUUGAUAUUCCUGUACCACCUAUAAUCGUUUUAAUCGAUGGGGGGACGCAGUAGGAUAGGCGAAGCGUGCGAUUGGAUUGCACGUCUAAGCAGUAAGGCUGAGUAUUAGGCA
rnacentral:rRNA from 1 species